rnacentral:lncRNA from 1 species
CAUCACCGGAAUCCCGACGCACAAGAUAUCUCGUCAAAGGUAAAACUAAUCCAGCAAGGCCGCCCGACGUGUCGACGAUCCCGAUAGGAGUCGCGUACCUCGUUCUCAGGACACGACGGAUGAGCUAGACGUCGGGAUCGCUAAACCUCCGGGUGACCAGAGGGGCGCCGUACAUCGCUCAGGUGGGACCAACACUCAUCAGGAGCACUGGCCCGGGGGUUGAUUAAAUUAGUCUGCGGGUGUCGGCGGGUCCCUAUGCAUUAUUAUUAGAUUAUUAGGCAAAUGUAGUACCAAAGUUGGGCCUUGCCAGACCAGCUUUAAUCUAAAACGAAUUAUCAAGGGGGUCCCCA